CUCGAGUGCCAGGUUACAAAUCUGGCUGUCGAGAUGCCUAAAAAGCAUUUCAUAGCAAGGGCCGGGCAAGACCGGUGCCAGCCGCCGCGGUAACACCGGCGGCUCGAGUGGUAACCGUUAUUAUUGGGUCUAAAGGGUCUGUGGCCGGCCGGAUAAGUCUCUUGAGAAAUCUGGCAGCUUAACUGUCAGGCUUUCAGGAGAUACUGUCUGGCUCGAGGCCGGGAGAGGUGAGAGGUACUUCAGGGGUAGGGGUGAAAUCUUGUAAUCCUUGAAGGACCACCAGUGGCGAAGGCGUCUCACCAGAACGGACCUGACGGCAAGGGACGAAAGCUAGGGGCACGAACCGGAUUAGAUACCCGGGUAGUCCUAGCCGUAAACGAUACUCGCUAGGUGUCGGCCACGGUGCGACCGUUGUCGGUGCCGUAGGGAAGCCGUGAAGCGAGC
rnacentral:rRNA from 1 species